UAUCAUGAGAGUUUGAUCCUGGCUCAGGACGAACGCUGGCGGCGUGCCUAAUACAUGCAAGUCGAGCGGAGUUACAAGAGAUGCUUGCAUCUCUUGUAACUUAGCGGCGAACGGGUGAGUAAC
rnacentral:rRNA from 1 species